rnacentral:rRNA from 1 species
UACGUAGGGUGCGAGCGUUGUCCGGAAUUAUUGGGCGUAAAGAGCUCGUAGGCGGUUUGUCGCGUCUGCUGUGAAAAACUCGGGGGCUUAACCCCGGGCCUGCAGUGGGUACGGGCAGACUAGAGUGCGGUAGGGGAGAGCUGGAAUUCCUGGUGUAGCGGUGAAAUGCGCAGAUAUCAGGAGGAACACCGGUGGCGAAGGCGGGUCUCUGGGCCGGUACCGACGCUGAGGAGCGAAAGCGUGGGGAGCGAACAGG